GACGAACGCUGGCGGCGUGCCUAAUACAUGCCAGUUGAGCGAUGAAGAUUGGUGCUUGCACCAAUUUGAAGAGCAGCGAACGGGUGAGUAACGCGCGGGGAAUCUGCCUUUGAGCGGGGGACAACAUUUGGAAACGAAUGCUAAUACCGCAUAACAACUUUAAACAUAAGUUUUAAGUUUGAAAGAUGCAAUUGCAUCACUCAAAGAUGAUCCCGCGUUGUAUUAGCUAGUUGGUGAGGUAAAGGCUCACCAAGGCGAUGAUACAUAGCCGACCUGAGAGGGUGAUCGGCCACAUUGGGACUGAGACACGGCCCAAACUCCUACGGGAGGCAGCAGUAGGGAAUCUUCGGCAAUGGACGAAAGUCUGACCGAGCAACGCCGCGUGAGUGAAGAAGGGUUUCGGAUCGUAAAACUCUGUUGGUAGAGAAGAACGUUGGUGAGAGUGGAAAGCUCAUCAAGUGACGGUAACUACCCAGAAAGGGACGGCUAACUACGUG
rnacentral:rRNA from 1 species